rnacentral:rRNA from 1 species
UACGUAGGGUGCAAGCGUUGUCCGGAAUUAUUGGGCGUAAAGAGCUCGUAGGCGGUUUGUCGCGUCGAAUGUGAAAACCCGGGGCUCAACCCCGGGCCUGCAUUCGAUACGGGCAGACUAGAGUUCGGUAGGGGAGUCUGGAAUUCCUGGUGUAGCGGUGAAAUGCGCAGAUAUCAGGAGGAACACCGGUGGCGAAGGCGGUCUGCUGGGCCAAGACUGACGCUGAGGCGCGACAGCGUGGGGAGCAAACAGG